ACCUCCCCACUCAGACACACAGUAGAGCCUCCAUUUGUUCUGCCCAUCCACAUUCAAGCAUCAGCUGAGUGCCUUUCAUUUCCUGCCUGUCCUGCUCGUCUCAGGUCCGGGUCGGUGGGACGUUUUGGACACUGCUGCCCCAAGGAUAACUGAUAACUGCGCCCACCCUUGAGCUGCAGCCUGGAGUUCAGAGAAAGCAACAGGCUGAGCUUAAAGGUGAUGCUGCGUUCGCCUCUGGAGGAGGAGACAAAAGCAGAGACACCCCGGAAUGUCACUGCUGACCCCCGGUUUUGUGCUGCUAAAGCAAAAGCAGAGCAGUUGCACGCAGCGGCAGAGCCAGUAAGCAGCAAAGGCAGAAGAUAACUUUGGUCUCCUGUAUCAGCCUCGUGGCUGCAGCAGGGUAAGCAGAGCCAAGGUCCUCCCUGCCGCCGGGAGAUUGCUUUGUGCUGAAAGGGGAAUAUGGACUCUGAAAGUCAAAUCAAUGCCGUAUCUUCAUCAAAGGCUUUGGCACAACAUCAGGUGCGUGCCAGCGGGCUCAGCCAACAGGUGAGGGCUGGAGCAGCUCUCGGAGCGAUGGAUGACAUUGAACUGAGAGUGGCGGGAGGAAAUGGAACGGUGCAAAAUGCAAAGUCAUGCCCUGCGCUCACCGAAUGAGUGUUUGUGCCAUGCGUUAGGAGCCUGGGCUGGGAAAUGCAACCAGCAGCCCCGGGAUGAAUGCGGACUGCAGCCCCAGAGACGUGGUGGGUUAACUCUGCUGGGAUGUGUGUCCAGGAGAGGCAGCGCCAGGCCGAACAGAGCACAGCUCACAGACAUCGAGCAGCCCUGCUGAAAAACACUCAUAUAGGAAAGGAGCAGAGGAGAGCGGCUGAAGGAAUGCAGAGCAGAGGUGGGAGCAGCACGGAGUGAUAGCGCAUGGAACGGGCGAUAAGAUUGCUCGGGGUGGUUUAUCAGCACCCAGCAGCAGAGCAGCAGGAGAUCUGCUCCAAGCGAUGGAUGGACUCUGCAUACAAAGGACAUUGCUUCUUUUUUGGAAAUCCAGCUUCCUAUGGGAGCACAGUCGGAGCCCAGGGAAGCCAUCUGGAGCCUCCUGGCUCACCGAAUGGGCUGGGGCAGGGAAUGGCACCAGCUCCUUUUGGACCUCCUGCCCACCAUCUUCUGACAGCCGGCACCAUACCGGUCCUGUGGCCCCGCCAGAACCUGUGGCACAGACUGGUGCCAUCAGCAGGGGGGGUCCGUGUGUGCCCCGUCCAGCACUAGUGCCAGCCAAGAGCACGUGUGCAAGGAGCAGCAUAAGAGCACAGCAGCAGAAUACAGCAGCACUCGGAAUCUUUGACGAGUUUCCCUCUGUGGCUUACUGCAAUGGCUUUUUGAGCCAAUACAGACUUCUGGCCUUCAUCCUGCAGCAGGGGGUCCCUCAGCUCCACUGCCCAGAAAAUACUUCCUUCAACCCAAUGGCUCCUGCCAUAGCCCUGGUCCUUGUGCUGAGCACACAGCCGUGUCCCCACCGCCAACCACUGCAUCCUCCACGCCUUGGUCACCUCUUCCAGACUGCGUCUUCCACCUCUGGGUUGCCUCUUCCAGCCUGUGGAGCCCACUCAGUCCUUCUCCGUGCUUCAUCAUUCCUGUAUUUGUCCGAUUUCUCACGAUGUGGGACAAUAAGAUGUGACACCUCAGGAGGCGCUGUUCCAUUCUCUGCUCCUUUCCUGGUAAUUCACAGCAGCUCCGUUCCCUCUGGAGCGGCGUGGCUCAGUCUGAAGCACCCAUCCUGCUGCGUGUCUCUAUGAGCCCCGCAUUGCUCUGUUUGUGAGUGAGCUCCCACUUGUGGAGGGGCUCUCCUGGUGCUCAGUCUGAAGUGCUGUAACUCUUAGGAAUCUCCUCCAGCACCUCUCUGUGCCUCCCAACAGGGAUGGGUGCCCAUGGGCCGCAUUCCCCGGGGCUGCAGGCUGUGUGUGGCACACAGGACUUGUGCUGCUGUCCACAUGUGGCACACGAAGGUGACUGGGAUGGGGCCGUUCAGCCCGAGGGACUGCCCGUGGGCCUCUCCCACUGCUUUCACACGGCUGCAGAGCUCUGUGCGUGGGGAGUGUCCUCCGGAGGUGGCACAUCCAGUGCUCUCCGCUUUGCCUCUCUGUGCUCCCUGCAGUGUCCAAGGGUGGGUGCCAGCCAUGUCAUAGGCACUGCGCCUGGUGGGAUGGCUGAACCUGCCGGCUGGACUUGCUGGCAGCUCCUGCAGCUCCCAGUGUCGGUGCAGGCUUCAUCGGUGUGCACCGGGAUGCCUUGAGCAGGGAACCAUGGGGACCCACUGGGUGGCAAUGAGACCCCGUGGGCCAAUGCCUGGGUGCCCCAGUCAGGGCUGGGACACUG